CUUCGCACGGUUAGAUCAACGUUCACGCUAUUCUUAAAUUCACCGUUCCACUUGCGACAAUCGGUGAACGGUUCUUGUGAACUACCAUAAGCUUGGGAUGCAUGAAAUUCCCCAGUCUAUUGGUGGUGCUGAAGGAUGACAUCAUUAUUCUAUGAAGACAGCGUACUGUUAGAUUUCAGAUUUUCUACUGCAAAUGCAACCACUACGCACUAAUUUCAUUCGGGUCAAAUCAGAGGCUAUUAUUGAAUAUCAAGAAAUAGAUCUUUGUACUCCGUUGAUUUGACGA